AGAGUUUGAUCCUGGCUCAGAACGAACGUUGGCGGCGUGGAUUAGGCAUGCAAGUCGAACGAAUCCCUGGGGGCUUGCUCCCAGGGGGAAGUGGCGAAAGGGGCAGUAAUGCGUGGGUAACCUACCCCGGGGACCGGGAUAGCCGUCCUAACGGACGGGUAAUACCGGGCGAUGUGGCGAGGGGACAUCCCCAUGUCACGAAAUGAGUUUCGCCUCGGGAGGGGCUCACGUGGUAUUAGCUUGUUGGUGGGGUAACGGCCCACCAAGGCCAAGAUGCCUAGCGGGUGUGAGAGCACGACCCGCGCCACUGGCACUGAGACACUGGCCAGACUCCUACGGGAGGCUGCAGUCGAGGAUCUUCGGCAAUGGGCGCAAGCCUGACCGAGCGACGCCGCGUGUGCGAUGAAGGCCUUCGGGUUGUAAAGCACUGUCGAGGGGGAGGAAAGCCCGCAAGGGCCUGACCUAUCCCUGGAGGAAGCACGGGCUAAGUUCGUGCCAGCAGCCGCGGUAAGACGAACCGUGCGAACGUUGUUCGGAUUCACUGGGCUUAAAGGGCGCGUAGGCGGGCGGUCAAGUCAGGGGUGAAAUCUUUCGGCUCAACCGGAAAAGUGCCUUUGAUACUGGCCGUCUCGAGGGAGGUAGGGGCAUGCGGAACUUCCGGUGGAGCGGUGAAAUGCGUAGAUAUCGGAAGGAACGCCGGUGGCGAAAGCGGCGUGCUGGACCUCUUCUGACGCUGAGGCGCGAAAGCCAGGGGAGCAAACGGGAUUAGAUACCCCUGUAGUCC
rnacentral:rRNA from 1 species